rnacentral:rRNA from 1 species
AUUGAACGCUGGCGGCAGGCCUAACACAUGCAAGUCGAACGGUAACAGGAAGCAGCUUGCUGCUUCGCUGACGAGUGGCGGACGGGUGAGUAAUGUCUGGGAAACUGCCUGAUGGAGGGGGAUAACUACUGGAAACGGUAGCUAAUACCGCAUAACGUCGCAAGACCAAAGAGGGGGACCUUAGGGCCUCUUGCCAUCGGAUGUGCCCAGAUGGGAUUAGCUAGUAGGUGGGGUAACGGCUCACCUAGGCGACGAUCCCUAGCUGGUCUGAGAGGAUGACCAGCCACACUGGAACUGAGACACGGUCUAGACUCCUACGGGAGGCAGCAGUGGGGAAUAUUGCACAAUGGGCGCAAGCCUGAUGCAGCCAUGCCGCGUGUAUGAAGAAGGCCUUCGGGUUGUAAAGUACUUUCAGCGGGGAGGAAGGGAGUAAAGUUAAUACCUUUGCUCAUUGACGUUACCCGCAGAAGAAGCACCGGCUAACUCCGUG